ACUCUGAAUAUACUAUUGGCUGAUCAUUAUUCUUUUUAUAAAUAAAGGACCUUUGAAGAAUGUAGAAAAAUUGCGGACUUUUCAGACAACCUAAUAACAUAACGGCUUCUUAUUUACACAUAUUGCAAAAGUGUUUAACAUUUCAGCUGCAAGAUAGAGGAAUAAUGAAUCGUGGUGCGCUCAGCAGAAGGGGUUUCCAGCUUCUGUAGCUCUUCAUGUGUAUAAUUUUCUUAAUGAACUACUUUCAGGAUUUUGAGUAUUUCUCUAACAAUGAAAUAGCCUCCAGGAAUCCCAAACCUUUCAAUAUCAGACAAAUCACUUUGGAGAAUAAUCAGAUCAGACUAAUCUCAUGAUCAGUACAGGACAUCCGAAGAAUUGCGCUAAAAUGUGGAAGAAGCCUUUCGAAAGUUAAGGUCUCAGAUGCUCCGCUACCUAUCAAGGAGGACGUGGAACGUCAUUCAUUUGUGUAUGCAACAAGGAAUAUACACAGAUUCACUGGAUAUAUAUUCCUGUUUCCGCUUACAACUCCCUUCCAGAAUGAGAAUUUAGAAUCGCGUUGAAUGAAAAUGAGUUGAAUGAACACUACACAUCUUUUACUAAAUAUAUAAACUAAAAUUACACUUCCAUUACUCUCUGUGUUAUACCAAAUGUGUUAUACCAAAACCAUCUGCGUUAUCCAGGGAUGCGAGGAAUUCUUGGACACUCUGUGCAUUCAUCUGCCAGAAAAACGAUCAGUUAAGGAAAAGAAUGAAAAACGAAGUAAAAGAGAAAGUGAAAAAAAAU